rnacentral:rRNA from 1 species
AUACGGAGGGUGCAAGCGUUGUUCGGAAUUACUGGGCGUAAAGCGCGCGUAGGCGGUCUGUUAUGUCAGAUGUGAAAGUCCUCGGCUCAACCGGGGAAGUGCAUUUGAAACGGGCAGACUUGAGUACUGGAGGGGGUGGUGGAAUUCCCGGUGUAGAGGUGAAAUUCGUAGAUAUCGGGAGGAAUACCGGUGGCGAAGGCGACCACCUGGCCAGAUACUGACGCUGAGGUGCGAAAGCGUGGGGAGCAAACAGGAUUAGAUACCCCGGUAGUCC